rnacentral:tRNA from 1 species
GGAGUUGUGGCUCAGUGGUAGAGCGCUUGUCUGGCAUGCAUGAGGCACUGGGUUUGAUCCUCAGCACCA